CCCGACUUACCAACCCGAUGCAAACUGCGAAUACCGGAGAAUGUUAUCACGGGAGACACACGGCGGGUGCUAACGUCCGUCGUGAAGAGGGAAACAACCCAGACCGCCAGCUAAGGUCCCAAAGUCAUGGUUAAGUGGGAAACGAUGUGGGAAGGCCCAGACAGCCAGGAUGUUGGCUUAGAAGCAGCCAUCAUUUAAAGAAAGCGUAAUAGCUCACUGGUCGAGUCGGCCUGCGCGGAAGAUGUAACGGGGCUAAACCAUGCACCGAAGCUGCGGCAGCGAUGCUUAUGCGUUGUUGGGUAGGGGAGCGUUCUGUAAGCCUGCGAAGGUGUGCUGUGAGGCAUGCUGGAGGUAUCAGAAGUGCGAAUGCUGACAUAAGUAACGAUAAAGCGGGUGAAAAGCCCGCUCGCCGGAAGACCAAGGGUUCCUGUCCAACGUUAAUCGGGGCAGGGUGAGUCGACCCCUAAGGCGAGGCCGAAAGGCGUAGUCGAUGGGAAACAGGUUAAUAUUCCUGUACUUGGUGUUACUGCGAAGGGGGGACGGAGAAGGCUAUGUUGGCCGGGCGACGGUUGUCCCGGUUUAAGCGUGUAGGCUGGUUUUCCAGGCAAAUCCGGAAAAUCAAGGCUGAGGCGUGAUGACGAGGCACUACGGUGCUGAAGCAACAAAUGCCCUGCUUCCAGGAAAAGCCUCUAAGCAUCAGGUAACAUCAAAUCGUACCCCAAACCGACACAGGUGGUCAGGUAGAGAAUACCAAGGCGCUUGAGAGAACUCGGGUGAAGGAACUAGGCAAAAUGGUGCCGUAACUUCGGGAGAAGGCACGCUGAUAUGUAGGUGAAGUCCCUUGCGGAUGGAGCUGAAAUCAGUCGAAGAUACCAGCUGGCUGCAACUGUUUAUUAAAAACACAGCACUGUGCAAACACGAAAGUGGACGUAUACGGUGUGACGCCUGCCCGGUGCCGGAAGGUUAAUUGAUGGGGUCAGCGCAAGCGAAGCUCUUGAUCGAAGCCCCGGUAAACGGCGGCCGUAACUAUAACGGUCCUAAGGUAGCGAAAUUCCUUGUCGGGUAAGUUCCGACCUGCACGAAUGGCGUAAUGAUGGCCAGGCUGUCUCCACCCGAGACUCAGUGAAAUUGAACUCGCUGUGAAGAUGCAGUGUACCCGCGGCAAGACGGAAAGACCCCGUGAACCUUUACUAUAGCUUGACACUGAACAUUGAGCCUUGAUGUGUAGGAUAGGUGGGAGGCUUUGAAGUGUGGACGCCAGUCUGCAUGGAGCCGGCCUUGAAAUACCACCCUUUAAUGUUUGAUGUUCUAACGUGGACCCGUGAUCCGGGUUGCGGACAGUGUCUGGUGGGUAGUUUGACUGGGGCGGUCUCCUCCUAAAGAGUAACGGAGGAGCACGAAGGUUGGCUAAUCCUGGUCGGACAUCAGGAGGUUAGUGCAAUGGCAUAAGCCAGCUUGACUGCGAGCGUGACGGCGCGAGCAGGUGCGAAAGCAGGUCAUAGUGAUCCGGUGGUUCUGAAUGGAAGGGCCAUCGCUCAACGGAUAAAAGGUACUCCGGGGAUAACAGGCUGAUACCGCCCAAGAGUUCAUAUCGACGGCGGUGUUUGGCACCUCGAUGUCGGCUCAUCACAUCCUGGGGCUGAAGUAGGUCCCAAGGGUAUGGCUGUUCGCCAUUUAAAGUGGUACGCGAGCUGGGUUUAGAACGUCGUGAGACAGUUCGGUCCCUAUCUGCCGUGGGCGCUGGAGAACUGAGGGGGGCUGCUCCUAGUACGAGAGGACCGGAGUGGACGCAUCACUGGUGUUCGGGUUGUCAUGCCAAUGGCACUGCCCGGUAGCUAAAUGCGGAAGAGAUAAGUGCUGAAAGCAUCUAAGCACGAAACUUGCCCCGAGAUGAGUUCUCCCUGACCCUUUAAGGGUCCUGAAGGAACGUUGAAGACGACGACGUUGAUAGGCCGGGUGUGUAAGCGCAGCGAUGCGUUGAGCUAACCGGUACUAAUGAACCGUGAGG
rnacentral:rRNA from 1 species